UGGAUUGGACUCUGCCUUCCAACUGUUGGAGAUGGAGGAUGACGACUGAUGAGGCCCAGACUCAGUAACUCCAGUGACCCACGCUGAACCCAGGGUAAAACUCCAGGUAGCAGGGUGGAUAGAAGCCUCCCCCACCUCAUCUGAAGGGGCCUCCACAGUGGCUGAGAUCCUUCUUAAGGACGUCAUUCUCCACUUUGGUCUACCGAGAAGGAUACAGUCUGACAAUGGGCCUUGCUUUCAUCUCAGCAGUCACCCAACAGGUCUCCAAAGCUUUAGGUAUUACUUGGAAACUCAACAUACCAUACCACCCCCAGUCCUCAGGUAAGGUUGAAAGGGCCAAUGGCCUCAUAAAAGACCAUCUCACUAAACUCUCCAUAGAGACUCGGCUUUCUUGGCCUCAACUCCUACCUAUAGCACUCACCUGACUCCGAGCCGCUCCCCGAGGACCCACAGGCCCCAGCCUAUUUGAACUCCUAUACAGGCGACCCUUUCUGUUACCCCAACCCCUACCAAAAGAUCCUCCUCCUUUGGCUGCCUAUCUCCCUUACCUCAGCCUGCUCCGACACCUGAUUUGACAGUACGCUGACCUUAUUCUACCAGCUCCCACCGAUCUCUCUUCCCCUUCACUAUCCGUAAACCUAGGAGACUCAGUGCUCCUUCGAGUAAGACAAAAACCAACCCUUGCCCCCCGAUAGGAGGGUCCCUACACAGUCAUACUCACAACCCCCACGGCUGCUAAAUUAUUGCGCCACACCCUGUGGGUUCACACCUCCGACCUCAAGCAGGCCCCCCUUUACCCCCCAUACCAGAAGAGUCGUGGACCUCCCAACCAACCAGCUCCCUCACCCUCAAACUAACCUGACAGGCCCCUUCAUGACUGACCCUUCCCCUUGGUUUUCCACCUUCACACUCACAAUAUUACAUGAGCUACAACUCUCCCACUCAUCUGACCCCAUCACCCUCCCCUUAUUUCUCUCCUGGGUCUCGACUGUUGGCUUCAGGGAACUCUCUCCGAUUUCUCCCCCAUCGAAAUCUCCUUCUUUACCUUUUUGCUAACGAUACUUAUAUAUCAUGAUGAUACUUCCCUUGUUACUCCUUAUCAUCCCCCUUAUACCCUCACAACCCUCCUAUAGGUGGGUUUUUUACCUAUCCGAAACUUUUAAUGGACACACCUCUAUCAUAUCCUCUACCCCUUGCCCCAUUGUUGGGUGCCAAAAUCCAGUCACCUUUAAAUUCCCCUCUUUCAACACCCUCCAAGCCUCCACACAGAUUACUCCCGCCAUUUGCUUUUUAUAUGACCAAACCAAGAUAUGCUCCCAAACCUCCCCCAACCAAUAUGGAGGAUACCCCUAUCACUAUUGUAAUAUACACUGGCUCAACCUAUACUGUUUCACAGGACCAAGGACGGGCCACUUCUGCUUAAAAAAUGGCAACUUUACCCUUACUAUCCCUGAUCCAUGGGAUACCCGCUAGCAAACCGGAAUAAAGGCAAACUGUAUCAGAACAACCAUUUCUCUAACCCCAUCUCCUCUUUAACCAUCUAUCGAACCUAUGAGUCCUCAAUGUCUCCUUCCCUCUCCAACCUUAAAGAUCUUACCCAAGUAAUCAUGGACCAAGAAGACCAGCUCAACACACAACUACAGACACCCCCUGCACAACAUCCCUUCUCAUGGCUUACAUUCAUCAGACAAGGAGCGAUCCUGCUUAACCACUCAGGCUUAACCAACCUGUCACACUGCUUUCUUUGUGCAUCCUUUCAGCGGGAUCCAGUAAUAGCUGUCCCAUUACCCACACCCUUUCCCAACACCACUAACUCCAUCAACCACUCCAGAAGUCAAAUCUCCCUACAGGUUCCCAUCCUCACUGAGACCCCUCAAGGCAACAUGUCUCACCCAAUAUGCUACUCCUCUCAUGCCUCCCUAACUUGCCCCUCCCCCCUGCCUAUGCCUAGCCACGACCCUCCCCCAGGGGGAUUCUAUUGGUGUAAUGGAACAGCUUAUAAACAAAUGCCAAAAAAUGCUUUUGUCUGUCUCCCAGUCACCAUUAUCCCCCAACUCACCCUAUACGGACAGGAAGAACACCAUCAACUCCUCGAAUUCCAUCUCCAAAAACGAGCCGUUUUCCUCCCACUAAUGGUCGGACUAUCCCUUGCCACAUCCCUAUUGGCCGCCGGGGUUGGGACCGACUCCCUCGCACACUCUAUUACCUCCUCCAGGGACCUGUCAGACUCCAAAUUGCAAUAGAAGCCUCAGCAACCUCCCUAUCCACCUUACAAAGGCAGAUCAACUCCCUAGCACAGGUCACUCUACAAAACCGAUGAGCCCUAGAUCUCCUGACAGCAGAAAAAGGGGGAACAUGCCUGUUCCUGAGGGAAGAAUGUUGCUACUACAUCAAUGAAUCAGGCUUAGUUGAAACCAAUAUAGAACACCUAAAGGAAAUCCAAAAAACUCUAUCCACCCGCCCAGGAUCCUCAGACCCCCUAACCUCCUGGUGGCAGUCACCCCUCUUAACUUGGCUCCUCCCCACAGUCACCCCACUAGUUGCUAUCUGUAUAAUACUUAUGCUCUUACCUUGUUUUCUCUGUUUCAUACGGACAUGAAUUCAUGAAGUUUCCCAGUUCGCAUUUCAUCAAAUGGUGGUCCGGCCCUAUUCCCGCAUUCCAACCUCAGAUCCCACAUACUAUGGCAUCACCCUUACACCCGCAAGAAGCAGCCAGAUCAGAUCCGUCACCCAUUAUCAUCCAUAAGAGGUUGGAAUGUUAGGAUGUCCCUGGAAGGGGACAACCAUCUUGCCAGUGUGCUGGAAGAAACCUCGCCAGCGCGUGGGAAGAAACUGAAGGGCAACCAAUCACCAAGCGCCAGCACAACCCAACAGAGAGCCCCGAGCAGUGCGCCAGAAGAAACUGAAGGUCAACCAAUCACCGAGCAACAGCACAAUCUGGCACGAAAGAAAGACCCACCCGAACCUAAACCCGGAACUGCUGCAGCUUAAAAACCCUACCCCACCUUACCUGGGUAUGACUUUCCUGACUCCUCUCACUCCCUGAGUCACGGAACCUUACCCAGAACCUUUGUUCCCAAUAAAGCCUUAAACUGUAAAAAAUU